UACGUAGGGUGCAAGCGUUGUCCGGAAUUAUUGGGCGUAAAGAGCUCGUAGGCGGCUUGUCACGUCGGGUGUGAAAGACCGGGGCUUAACCCCGGUUCUGCAUUCGAUACGGGCUAGCUAGAGUGUGGUAGGGGAGAUCGGAAUUCCUGGUGUAGCGGUGAAAUGCGCAGAUAUCAGGAGGAACACCGGUGGCGAAGGCGGCAUCCUGGACCAACACUGACACUGAGGAGCGAAAGCCAGGGGAGCAAACGGG
rnacentral:rRNA from 1 species